GCGUAUCGCGUCGUUUCGCUUUCCGAUAUUCCUGACAAAUUAUCAUAAAUGUGACAUUACAAUGCGAAAAAAAUAGAAGUCAAAGGAAUUUGUAACUGGCUGCUACAUCGGAAGGCUCGAUUUAUCUUUAGAAAAUGACGAUAUCUAACAUUUACGGAUGAAAUCUAUCCAAGUCAGAGAAAAUCGGAUAGCCGCCAUGUUGUCAACAUUGACAUCGAUACAAAGGAAAAGCGUGUGUGAGACGCAUACUGUAAAUGCAAACAAGGAAAUUGUGGAACAUGUUCACACACUCUGGCUGUAAAAGUAGACCUGGGAGGAAAAGUGCCCCCGGUGUGGGGCUCAAAUUCACAACCACCAGAACACUAGCCCGGCACUCUAACCAACUAAGCUGACCGGGCAGCUGGUUCUAACCCACACACACUACAUCCCCCCCCCCCCCCUACACACACAUGAUAUUUGCCAGUCCAGGCAAUGUCAACCGCAAGAGAAAACCAGUGAUGACAAGUUUUACAAAUAAUCGGAAAGUGUGGUCUUUUGAAGAGAGUUCUUGAAGUUGUUCAGCAUGUUGUUUUGAUGGAUUCUUGGAAGGAUGUACCUCUAUGAUGUUAGCUUCAGUUCUGAAGUAUAACACCAGUUGUUGCAUAUUUAAUAUCAGAUUUAUUAAAUACAUUGUUGUUUUGCAAACAUUACUUAAACUUUGAUAUUUCUUUGGUGUUUAUGUAUGAUAUUGUAGGUGAAUAUCUCUUUAUUGCAAUGGCAAAUAUAUUUUAAAAUAUAUAGCAUUAGCAGAAGUUAUUUUUCACUGUUAAAGCUGCACUUUCACAGAUUGAUCACUUUGACAACUUACACAGGAUUCGAUUGCAUUUAUCAUAUUUUGGCUCGGAGAAGUUUGCUUUGUGAUUUAUAUAUUAGGUCUUAAUUUAAAGAAUGCCAAAAUAAGGCGAUUCUGAGACAAAAAGUGUCAAACUAGAAUUCUGUGAGAGUGCAACUUUAAGAAUACUGUUAAUCGAGUGUGCAUGUGAUCCGGACUCUGAACAUUGGAUGAACUAUCAUUAAAUAUUGUAGAUUUACGUAAAUGGCCCAAAAUAUAAGAAUAACAAUGAAAAUAUGUA